rnacentral:rRNA from 1 species
CGCGUGGGAAUGUACCCUUUAUUACGGAAUAACCCCGGGAAACUGGGAUUAAUACCGUAUACGCCCCUUUUCAGAAGCCUGAAUUCAGAAAUCAGAAGUCAGAAAUGUUGCAUCACGCAUAGCGUGAUGACGUGUUUCAUAUUUCACACUUCUGGUUUCAGUUUUCUGUAUGGGGGAAAGAUUUAUCGCUAAAGGAUCAGCCCGCGUAAGAUUAGGUAGUUGGUGGGGUAAUGGCCUACCAAGCCUAGGAUCUUUAGCUGGUCUGAGAGGAUGAUCAGCCACACUGGAACUGAGACACGGUCCAGACUCCUACGGGAGGCAGCAGUGGGGAAUAUUGGACAAUGGGCGAAAGCCUGAUCCAGCCAUGCCGCGUGAGUGAUAAGGCCUUCUGGUUGUAAAACUCUUUCGUCUGUGAAGAUAAUGACGGUAACCGAAAAAGAAGCCCCGGCUAACUUCGUGCCAGCAGCCGCGGUAAUACGAAGGGGGCUACCGUUGUUCGGAAUCACUGGGCGUAAAGCGCGCGUAUGCGGACUGACAAGUCUUGGGUGAAAGCCCAAGGCUCAACCUUGGAACUGCCUUUGAAACUGUCAGUCUGGAGUCUCGGAGGGGAUGGCGGAAUUUCUAGUGUAGGGGUGAAAUCCGUAGAUACUAUGAAGAACACCGGUGGCUAAGGCUGCCAGCUGGACAAGUACUGACGCCUAGGCGCGAAAGCUUGGGGAGCAAACAGGAUUAGAUACCCUGGUAGUCC